GAAAUCUGUACAUUAAGAGCCUUUGGAUUUCCAGUAUCUCACAGAUGGCCAAGGCAGAUUCCUACCAAGAGCAGACUGGCAGAGAGAACCUGGAGAACCUUUCCAUGUGGCACAGUCCGGAGAACUAUCUUGGACAUCAUAAGCAAUUAACAAGAGAUCUGAAGUCUCAAGAGACCAUUUUGAUGUCAGAGUUUAUUGUGACAUCUCAUCAAAAAUCUGGGCCAGAAGGUGUGUCGGAUCCAUAUCUGACUUCAGGUCACUUGAUUUAGAACUCUAUCUUCUCCACAUGGCUACUCUGGAGAUGGGAGCGUGCUUCACACCAUAUCAGAGCUCCUGAGCUUCCCUCCCGAUUCUCUUAGUGCACUUCAGCUGAGCAAUACAGCUUCAUUUC